GACGAACGCUGGCGGCGUGCCUAACACAUGCAAGUCGAACGGAGAAGUUCAGCAAUGGAUUUCUUAGUGGCGAACGGGUGAGUAACGCGUAGACAACCUGCCUCUAAGCUGGGGACAACAACUCGAAAGGGUUGCUAAUACCGAAUGUGAACAGUGCCUCGCAUGAGAUGCUGUUUGAAGGUGGCCUCUGAAUAUGCUACCGCUUAGAGAUGGGUCUGCGUCUGAUUAGUUAGUUGGAGGGGUAACGGCCCACCAAGGCGACGAUCAGUAGCCGGUCGGGGAGGAUGAACGGCCACACUGGGACUGAGACACGGCCCAGACUCCUACGGGAGGCAGCAGUGGGGAAUCUUCCGCAAUGGACGAAAGUCUGACGGAGCAACGCCGCGUGAGUGAAGAAGGCCCUCGGGUCGUAAAGCUCUGUCUUCAGGGACGAAUGUGCAGACUGUGAAUAAUGGUUUGUAAUGACGGUACCUGAGGAGGAAGCCACGGCUAACUACGUGCCAGCAGCCGCCGUAA
rnacentral:rRNA from 1 species